GGCUUCAUGGCUUAGUGGUUAAAGCACCUGCCUAGUAAGCAGGACAUCCUGGGAUCGAAUCCCAGUGGGGCUU